rnacentral:rRNA from 1 species
AUGAGGACAGUCCCGACCACGAUUCUCCUCCUGCUGCUGCUCCUCGCAUUGCCGCCGGCGCCGGCCGUCGCGCUCACCGACGACGGCCUCGCGCUGCUGGCCUUCAAGGCGGCCGUGACCGACGACCCGGCCUCGGUCCUCGCCAAGUGGUCCGAGUCGGACGCCGACCCGUGCCGCUGGCCCGGCGUCACCUGCGCCAACAUCUCGUCGCAGCCGCGCGUGGUCGGCCUGGCCGUCGCCGGCAAGAACGUGGCCGGCUACAUCCCCUCGGAGCUCGGCUCGCUGCUCUUCCUCCGCCGGCUCAACCUCCACGACAACCGCCUCAGCGGCGGCAUCCCGCCCGCGCUCUCCAACGCCUCCUCGCUCCACUCCAUCUUCCUCUACAACAACGCGCUCACCGGCAAGCUCCCCAUGGCGCUCUGCGACCUCCCGAGGCUGCAGAACAUCGACGUGUCCAGGAACUCGCUCUCCGGCGAGCUGCCGCUCGACCUCCGGAACUGCCGGAGCUUGCAGCGUCUUAUCGUCUCCAGAAACACCUUCUCCGGCGAGGUGCCCGCCGGUGUUUGGCCGGAGUUGUCCAGCCUGCAGCAGCUCGACCUCUCCUCCAACGCUUUCAACGGCUCCAUCCCGCCGGACCUCGGCCAGCUCCCCAAGCUCUCCGGCACGCUCAACCUCUCGCACAACCAGUUCUCCGGCAUCGUGCCGCCGGAGCUCGGCCGCCUCCCGGCGACCGUCACUCUCGACCUCCGCUUCAACAACCUCUCCGGCGCCAUCCCGCAGACGGGCUCCCUCGCCAGCCAGGGCCCAACUGCGUUCCUCAACAACCCCGCUCUCUGCGGCUUCCCGCUCCAAGUUGCCUGCCGAGCCGUCCCACCGCCGACGCAAUCUCCGCCGCCACAGAACACCAGUUCAUCAACAGCCUCCGCCUCUAACGACAGCCAGCAUCAGCCAAUUAAAUCAAGCCUCAUAGCGCUCAUCUCCGUCGCCGACGCCGCCGGCGUCGCCCUCGUCGGCAUCAUCCUGGUGUACAUAUACUGGAAAGUCAAGGACCGGAGGGAAGGCCGCCGCGGCCGUGGCCGUGCAAUCGCAGAAGACGACGACGAUGAUGAUCGGAACAAGGGGCUGUGCGGCUGCAUUUGGGGCCGCCGCGACAGAGGCUGGGCGGACGGCUCGUCGGACGACGAGGAAGAAGGAGACGGCAAGUGCAGCGGCGCCGACGGGGAGCUUGUAGCGAUCGACCGGGGAUUCCGGAUGGAGCUGGACGAGCUGCUCCGGUCAUCCGCGUAUGUGCUGGGGAAGGGAGGGAAGGGGAUCGUGUACAAGGUGGUGGUGGGCAACGGCUCGACGCCGGUGGCCGUCCGGCGGCUGGGCGGCGGCGGCGGUGGCGCUGAGAGGUGCAAGGAGUUCAGGGCGGAGGCGCGGGCGAUGGGGCGGGUGCGGCACCCCAACGUGGUGCGGCUGCGCGCUUACUACUGGUCACCCGACGAGAAGCUCGUCGUCACCGACUUCGUCGGCAACGGCAACCUCGCCACCGCGCUGCGUGGUCGCGCCGGUGAACCUGUGCUGUCGUGGGCGGCGCGGCUGAAGAUCGCCAAGGGCGCGGCGCGCGGCCUGGCGUACCUCCACGAGUGCAACAGCACCCGGCGGUUCGUCCACGGCGAGGUCAAGCCGUCCAACAUCCUCCUGGACGCCGACUUCACCCCCCGCGUCGCCGACUUCGGCCUCGUCCGCCUGCUCGCCAUCGCCGGCUGCGGCCCCGACGGCGCGCCGCCGUCCUCAGGGGGCAGCCUCCUCGGCGGCGCCAUCCCCUACACGAAGCCGCAGGCGCCGGCGCAGGCGAGCGGCUACCGGGCGCCCGAGGCGCGCGCGCCGGGGGCGCGGCCGGCGCAGAAGUGGGACGUGUUCUCCUUCGGGGUGAUCCUGCUGGAGCUGCUGACGGGGCGGGGACCGGCGGACCACGCGUCGCCGUCGACGUCCGCGUCCUUCUCGGGGCCGUCCACGACGACGACGGACCGAUCCGGGAGCGCGGAGCACGAGGCGGUGCCGGAGGCGGUGCGGUGGGUGCGGCGCGGGUUCGAGGACGCGCGGCCGGUGGCGGAGAUGGUGGACCCGGCGCUGCUGCGGGAGGCGCCGGCGCUGCCCAAGAAGGAGAUCGUUGCCGCGUUCCACGUCGCGCUGGCGUGCACCGAGGCCGACCCGGAGCUCCGGCCCAAGAUGAAGACCGUCGCCGACAGCCUCGAUAAGGUCGGGUCGUGA